AAACUGCGAAAAUCGGUGUGAAUUGCAGGACACCCGAUCACUAGUUCUUCGAACGCACAUUGCACUCUUGGUUUCACACGCCGAGAGUACGCCUGUCUGAGGGUCGGAAUUUAAAUUUCUCGAUGAUAUAAUGAGCUGCAUCGAGGUGAUCUUUCGUUUAACGAGAGUGAACUUUGUCAGCUGUGUGAUUGCACACUCGUCGCUGAGCUGGUAGCGAGGUAGGCGCGAACUUUCGUGAGCAGCCACCGCGUCUCGAAAGAGACAGUUACACUGUGCUCGUGACACGUACAAUAACAUAUCUCGACCUCAGAUCAGACGAGGCUACCCGCUGAAUUUAA
rnacentral:misc_RNA from 1 species